UACGGAGGAUCCAAGCGUUAUCCGGAAUCAUUGGGUUUAAAGGGUCCGUAGGUGGAUAAUUAAGUCAGAGGUGAAAUCCUGCAGCUUAACUGUAGAAUUGCCUUUGAUACUGGUUAUCUUGAGUUACUAUGAAGUAGUUAGAAUAUGUAGUGUAGCGGUGAAAUGCUUAGAUAUUACAUGGAAUACCGAUUGCGAAGGCAGAUUACUAAUAGUUUACUGACACUGAUGGACGAAAGCGUGGGGAGCGAAC
rnacentral:rRNA from 1 species